UUCAAAAUUGAUUUUUUUUCCAGCGGCAUCUAUUGCUUCUAAGAAAAGCCAUCCCAUUCAAAGGAAAGAAAGCAAGAUAUUUAGACGAAUAACAAACGCUGGGUUCGAAAAAAGAGAAUCUAAAAGUGAAGAUGAAGAAAAUGUCUUAGAAGUACUUCGCCAAAUAGUAAGGAAAUGCACGACAGUGGAUCCUUUUAAGAGACCUUCUUCGAAAGAUGUUCUAGAUUUGGUGGCUAACAUGAAUGAUAAGUCUUGACAAAAAUAUGAAGGGAAAAAAUGUGCCAAUUGUCUUAUAUUUUCUGCAAGACCGUGUCAAGUUACAUAAGCAUUUGAUGAAUAAAAGCAUUUAUCGAAGAGCAACGAUGUGACAUGCAUGAACAUAAACUAAAGAGCGAAAAUGGAGAAGUGCCAACAUUUUUUCUAAAUGACAGUUUGGGAAAGUGUUUUCAAAGAUGCUUUUCUGUAAAAGACACAAGCCUCCCCAGAAACUGUGAAAAUGACUUUUAGUUGGUUUUACCAGCUUUAUGUUCAACUCAUUUACUCUCAGGGAUUCAUUUUGAACUUACAGAAUAUCCAGCUAUUUUUUGCCUUCCAUAUUUCCCUCAUCAGAUCAUCAUUAACGGAUGCAAAUUUAUACUGAUUCAGUAUUAAUCACUCAUACUUUAAUUUAUAUAUUUCUUAAUGCAAUGUAAAAAGUUCAUUAGCCAUGUUAUCUAUUGUAUAUGUUUAAAAACUGUAUUUAUGCUGCCAAUAAAAAAUUCAAUUUUCCUA